rnacentral:miRNA from 1 species
CAGGAUGCCCAGUUAAAUUUGAAUUUCAGCUAAAAAUGUAUAAUUUAUUUUAGUUUAAGUAUGUCUCGUAUAAUAUUUGGGAUAUACUUAUGCUAAAAACUUUUUCAUUAUUUAUCUGAUAUUCAAAUUUAAUUGGGAGUCCUAUA